AGGAGGAACAACCGCAGUGGCAGCGGCCAGCUCUGGAGCCCUGGAGGCAGCUCCUGCAGUAUCUCCAGAGCUCUCUGUCUGCAGGGCCUGGAGGCUCCGGGGCGGG
rfam:Canis lupus familiaris chromosome 2, whole genome shotgun sequence.